ACAGCCAUAACACGUUGAAAGAGCAGUUCUCGUACAAUCAUUGUAGUUAAGUAAUGUUGAGCCCGGUCAGUACCUAGAUGGGUGACCAUUUGGGAAUACCAUGUGCUGUAA